rnacentral:rRNA from 1 species
GACGAACGCUGGCGGCGUGCUUAACACAUGCAAGUCGAACGGAAAGGCCCUGCUUUUGUGCGGUGCUCGAGUGGCGAACGGGUGAGUAACACGUGAGUAACCUGCCCCUGACUUUGGGAUAACUUCAGGCAACUGGGGCUAAUACCGGCUAGGAUCUCCUGCUGCUUGGUGGGGGUUGGAAAGUUUCGGCGGUUGGGGAUGGACUCGCGGCUCAUCAGCUUGUUGGUGGGGUAGUGGCUUACCAAGGCUUUGACGGGUAGCCGGCCUGAGAGGGUGACCGGCCACACUGGGACUGAGAUACGGCACAGACUCCUACGGGAGGCAGCAGUGGGGAAUAUUGCACAAUGGGCGGAAGCCAGAUGCAGCCACGCCGCGUGCGGGAUGACGGCCUGCGGGUUGUAAACCGCUGUCGCCUGUGACGGAGCGUGAGUGACGGUAAUGGGUAAAGAAGCACCGGCUAACUACGUG